GGGUUGUGAGGUUAAGCGACUAAGCGUACACGGUGGAUGCCCUGGCAGUCAGAGGCGAUGAAGGACGUGCUAAUCUGCGAUAAGCGUCGGUAAGGUGAUAUGAACCGUUAUAACCGGCGAUUUCCGAAUGGGGAAACCCAGUGUGUUUCGACACACUAUCAUUAACUGAAUCCAUAGGUUAAUGAGGCGAACCGGGGGAACUGAAACAUCUAAGUACCCCGAGGAAAAGAAAUCAACCGAGAUUCCCCCAGUAGCGGCGAGCGAACGGGGAGCAGCCCAGAGCCUGAAUCAGUGUGUGUGUUAGUGGAAGCGUCUGGAAAGGCGCGCGAUACAGGGUGACAGCCCCGUACACAAAAAUACACAUACUGUGAGCUCGAUGAGUAGGGCGGGACACGUGGUAUCCUGUCUGAAUAUGGGGGGACCAUCCUCCAAGGCUAAAUACUCCUGACUGACCGAUAGUGAACCAGUACCGUGAGGGAAAGGCGAAAAGAACCCCGGCGAGGGGAGUGAAAAAGAACCUGAAACCGUGUACGUACAAGCAGUGGGAGCACGCUUAGGCGUGUGACUGCGUACCUUUUGUAUAAUGGGUCAGCGACUUAUAUUCUGUAGCAAGGUUAACCGAAUAGGGGAGCCGAAGGGAAACCGAGUCUUAACUGGGCGUUAAGUUGCAGGGUAUAGACCCGAAACCCGGUGAUCUAGCCAUGGGCAGGUUGAAGGUUGGGUAACACUAACUGGAGGACCGAACCGACUAAUGUUGAAAAAUUAGCGGAUGACUUGUGGCUGGGGGUGAAAGGCCAAUCAAACCGGGAGAUAGCUGGUUCUCCCCGAAAGCUAUUUAGGUAGCGCCUCGUGAAUUCAUCUCCGGGGGUAGAGCACUGUUUCGGCAAGGGGGUCAUCCCGACUUACCAACCCGAUGCAAACUGCGAAUACCGGAGAAUGUUAUCACGGGAGACACACGGCGGGUGCUAACGUCCGUCGUGAAGAGGGAAACAACCCAGACCGCCAGCUAAGGUCCCAAAGUCAUGGUUAAGUGGGAAACGAUGUGGGAAGGCCCAGACAGCCAGGAUGUUGGCUUAGAAGCAGCCAUCAUUUAAAGAAAGCGUAAUAGCUCACUGGUCGAGUCGGCCUGCGCGGAAGAUGUAACGGGGCUAAACCAUGCACCGAAGCUGCGGCAGCGACGCUUAUGCGUUGUUGGGUAGGGGAGCGUUCUGUAAGCCUGCGAAGGUGUGCUGUGAGGCAUGCUGGAGGUAUCAGAAGUGCGAAUGCUGACAUAAGUAACGAUAAAGCGGGUGAAAAGCCCGCUCGCCGGAAGACCAAGGGUUCCUGUCCAACGUUAAUCGGGGCAGGGUGAGUCGACCCCUAAGGCGAGGCCGAAAGGCGUAGUCGAUGGGAAACAGGUUAAUAUUCCUGUACUUGGUGUUACUGCGAAGGGGGGACGGAGAAGGCUAUGUUGGCCGGGCGACGGUUGUCCCGGUUUAAGCGUGUAGGCUGGUUUUCCAGGCAAAUCCGGAAAAUCAAGGCUGAGGCGUGAUGACGAGGCACUACGGUGCUGAAGCAACAAAUGCCAUGCUUCCAGGAAAAGCCUCUAAGCAUCAGGUAACAUCAAAUCGUACCCCAAACCGACACAGGUGGUCAGGUAGAGAAUACCAAGGCGCUUGAGAGAACUCGGGUGAAGGAACUAGGCAAAAUGGUGCCGUAACUUCGGGAGAAGGCACGCUGAUAUGUAGGUGAAGCGACUUGCUCGUGGAGCUGAAAUCAGUCGAAGAUACCAGCUGGCUGCAACUGUUUAUUAAAAACACAGCACUGUGCAAACACGAAAGUGGACGUAUACGGUGUGACGCCUGCCCGGUGCCGGAAGGUUAAUUGAUGGGGUCAGCGCAAGCGAAGCUCUUGAUCGAAGCCCCGGUAAACGGCGGCCGUAACUAUAACGGUCCUAAGGUAGCGAAAUUCCUUGUCGGGUAAGUUCCGACCUGCACGAAUGGCGUAAUGAUGGCCAGGCUGUCUCCACCCGAGACUCAGUGAAAUUGAACUCGCUGUGAAGAUGCAGUGUACCCGCGGCAAGACGGAAAGACCCCGUGAACCUUUACUAUAGCUUGACACUGAACAUUGAGCCUUGAUGUGUAGGAUAGGUGGGAGGCUUUGAAGUGUGGACGCCAGUCUGCAUGGAGCCGACCUUGAAAUACCACCCUUUAAUGUUUGAUGUUCUAACGUUGACCCGUAAUCCGGGUUGCGGACAGUGUCUGGUGGGUAGUUUGACUGGGGCGGUCUCCUCCUAAAGAGUAACGGAGGAGCACGAAGGUUGGCUAAUCCUGGUCGGACAUCAGGAGGUUAGUGCAAUGGCAUAAGCCAGCUUGACUGCGAGCGUGACGGCGCGAGCAGGUGCGAAAGCAGGUCAUAGUGAUCCGGUGGUUCUGAAUGGAAGGGCCAUCGCUCAACGGAUAAAAGGUACUCCGGGGAUAACAGGCUGAUACCGCCCAAGAGUUCAUAUCGACGGCGGUGUUUGGCACCUCGAUGUCGGCUCAUCACAUCCUGGGGCUGAAGUAGGUCCCAAGGGUAUGGCUGUUCGCCAUUUAAAGUGGUACGCGAGCUGGGUUUAGAACGUCGUGAGACAGUUCGGUCCCUAUCUGCCGUGGGCGCUGGAGAACUGAGGGGGGCUGCUCCUAGUACGAGAGGACCGGAGUGGACGCAUCACUGGUGUUCGGGUUGUCAUGCCAAUGGCACUGCCCGGUAGCUAAAUGCGGAAGAGAUAAGUGCUGAAAGCAUCUAAGCACGAAACUUGCCCCGAGAUGAGUUCUCCCUGACUCCUUGAGAGUCCUGAAGGAACGUUGAAGACGACGACGUUGAUAGGCCGGGUGUGUAAGCGCAGCGAUGCGUUGAGCUAACCGGUACUAAUGAACCGUGAGGCUUAACCUUACAACGCCGAAGGUGUUU
rnacentral:rRNA from 1 species